rnacentral:rRNA from 1 species
UACGUAGGUGGCGAGCGUUGUCCGGAAUUACUGGGUGUAAAGCGCGUGUAGGCGGGAGGCCAAGUCUGCGGUGAAAUCGCUCGGCUCAACUGGGCGGGGUCCGUGGAAACUGGUCACCUGGAGGACGGUAGAGGCGAGUGGAAUUCCCGGUGUAGUGGUGAAAUGCGUAGAGAUCGGGAGGAACACCAGUGGCGAAGGCGGCCACCUGGACCAGCACUGACACUGAGGCACGAAAGCGUGGGGAGCAAACAGG